AUUACGUAAACCUAUAGGUGUAUGUACGUACAUUAAACUAUCACUAGGCUCAUUAAAAUGCCUAAGGAAAUACUAACACAUUCUCUUCGAAAGCCUAUUAUCACCCACAUAUGAUAAGGCUUUCGUAGAGACUGUUCUAAAGUAUUAUCUAGUUUUAUGAACUUAGUUUGACAAGGCUUCUGCACCGUGAAAGUUAGUCAGGUCCAUAUUUUCACACAUUACGGGGCACACACACUCACAUUUAAUAAGGCAUUUGGUGUGGUAGUAUUUCCAAGGGUAGUUUUAUGAGGCCAGUGAUAGUUUAACAAGGCUUUUGCACCAUGAACGUGUCAGAGUGUACAAGAGCCAAUUGAUUCCUUCCCACGUAGAGAUGAAUUCAACUCGGCCCGCGUAGUGAUCGGAUUUUAGGCUGACAUGUACGUGUGUUGCGUGCGGGAAAAAAUAGACUAGGAAAAGAAAAAAAAGAAAAGAAAAUAGCGAGACAAAAUUGGGUGUUUGAAUCGGUGUUUCAUGUGAAUGGAAGAUCAGUGUUGUGUGCAUUGCGUGUGUUGCGUGCGGAAGAAAAUAGGAAAAAGAAAAAGAAAAGAAGAAAAUAGCGAGACAAAACUGAGUGUCUACAGCGGUGUUGCUUGCGAAUGGUAGAUCAGUGUUGUGUGCAUUGCGUGUGUUGCGUGCGGAAGAAAAUAUGAAAAAGAAAAAAAAAAAUAGCGAGACAAAAUUGAGUGUACAGCGGUGUUGCGAGCGAAUGGGAGAUAACUGUUGCAUGCAUUGCGUGUGUUGUGUGUUACAUGUGAAAAAAAGAUGAAAAAAAAAGAAAAAAAUGAGUGCUUAAAUCGAUAUUGCGUGUGAAUGGUAGAUCAGUGUUGCGUGUGUUGCGUGCGGCACAAUAUGGAAGGCACUUGACAAGGUACUGGAGCAACUCUGGCACACCUUGACAUCCCUUCCAGCGUCGGCACCCUCCACCACGACAAGUCUUGAACCCGAAACAUAAGGAAGGAGACUGUUGGUGACUUCGUGUAAUCGCAAUGGACUUCUACUACUUCCAAUACACGCAUCGAGACCAGCCUUAUAUCUUGUCUCCAUAUAGG